rnacentral:rRNA from 1 species
GGAGGAAAAGAAACCAACAGGGAUUGCCUCAGUAACGGCGAGUGAAGCGGCAACAGCUCAAAUUUGAAAUCUGGCCCCCCUCUGGGGGGUCCGAGUUGUAAUUUGCAGAGGGCGCUUUGGCAUCGGCGGCGGUCUAAGUUCCUUGGAACAGGACAUCGCAGAGGGUGAGAAUCCCGUACGUGGGCGCCUGCCUUUGCCGUGUAAAGCCCCUUCGACGAGUCGAGUUGUUUGGGAAUGCAGCUCUAAAUGGGAGGUAAAUUUCUUCUAAAGCUAAAUACCGGCCAGAGACCGAUAGCGCACAAGUAGAGUGAUCGAAAGAUGAAAAGUACUUUGGAAAGAGAGUCAAAUAGCACGUGAAAUUGUUGAAAGGGAAGCGCUUGCAGCCAGACGUGCGCGCGGUUGCUCACCCCGGCUCUCGCCUGGGGCACUCUUCCGCGCGCAGGCCAGCAUCAGUUCGGGCGGUCGGAUAAAGGCCUCUGUCAAGUACCUUCCCCCGGGAAGGCCUUAUAGGGGAGGCGCAAUGCGACCAGCCCGGACUGAGGUCCGCGCAUCUGCUAGGAUGCUGGCGUAAUGGCUGUAAGCGGCCCGUCUUGAAACACGGACCAAGGAGUCUAACAUCUAUGCGAGUGUUUGGGUGUCAAGCCCGGGCGCGCAAUGAAAGUGAACGGAGGUGGGAUCCCCUUCCGGGGUGCACCAUCGACCGAUCCUGAUGUCUUCGGAUGGAUUUGAGUAAGAGCAUAGCUGUUGGGACCCGAAAGAUGGUGAACUAUGCUUGAAUAGGGUGAAGCCAGAGGAAACUCUGGUGGAGGCUCGCAGCGGUUCUGACGUGCAAAUCGAUCGUCAAAUUUGGGCAUAGGGGCGAAAGACUAAUCGAACCAUCUAGUAGCUGGUUC